UACAGAGGGUGCGAGCGUUGUUCGGAAUUAUUGGGCGUAAAGGGCGCGUAGGCGGUGCGGUAAGUCACCUGUGAAAUCUCCUGGCUCAACUGGGAGCUUGCAGGCGAAACUGCCGUGCUGGAGUGUGGGAGAGGUGCGUGGAAUUCCUGGUGUAGCGGUGAAAUGCGUAGAUAUCAGGAGGAACACCUGUGGCGAAAGCGGCGCACUGGACCACAACUGACGCUGGAGGCGACGAAAGGCUAGGGGAGCAAACAGG
rnacentral:rRNA from 1 species